rnacentral:rRNA from 1 species
ACAUACAGCCGUACCACUCUCAGAAUGCCUGAUCUUGUCUCUUCUUGGAAGCUAAGCAGGGUUAGGCCCAGUUAGUACUUGGAUGGGAGACCAUCUGGGAAUACCAGGUACUGUAUAGG